rnacentral:pre_miRNA from 1 species
UAUUAAAAUUUUCAUCUAUUUGUAUUAUUAAAUAUUGGUGCGACUGAGAGAAUAACCAGACAUUCCAUGUAUACCUCAUGUUGAUGUACAAUGACAAAUUUUUAAUAAUAAAAAUAGAUGAAAAUUUUAAUA